rnacentral:rRNA from 1 species
GUGCCAGCAGCCGCGGUAAGACGAACCGUCCAAACGUUAUUCGGAAUUACUGGGCUUAAAGGGUGCGUAGGCGGCCUGACAAGUUGGGUGUGAAAUACCUCGGCUCAACCGAGGAAUAGCGCUCAAAACUGCCAGGCUUGAGGGAGAUAGAGGUGAGCGGAACUUAAGGUGGAGCGGUGAAAUGCGUUGAUAUCUUAAGGAACACCCGUGGCGAAAGCGGCUCACUGGAUCUCUUCUGACGCUCAUGCACGAAAGCUAGGGGAGCAAACGGGAUUAGAAACCCUGGUAGUCC